rnacentral:rRNA from 1 species
AGUGAACGCUGGCGGUAGGCCUAACACAUGCGAGUCGAACGGCAGCACAGUAAGAGCUUGCUCUUACGGGUGGCGAGUGGCGGACGGGUGAGGAAUACAUCGUAAUCUACUUUUUCGUGGGGGAUAACGUAGGGAAACUUACGCUAAUACCGCAUACGACCUACGGGUGAAAGCAGGGGAUCUUCGGACCUUGCGCGAUUGAAUGAGCCGAUGUCGGAUUAGCUAGUUGGCGGGGUAAAGGCCCACCAAGGCGACGAUCCGUAGCUGGUCUGAGAGGAUGAUCAGCCACACUGGAACUGAGACACGGUCCAGACUCCUACGGGAGGCAGCAGUGGGGAAUAUUGGACAAUGGGCGCAAGCCUGAUCCAGCCAUACCGCGUGGGUGAAGAAGGCCUUCGGGUUGUAAAGCCCUUUUGUUGGGAAAGAAAAGCAGCAGGUUAAUACCCCGCUGUUCUGACGGUACCCAAAGAAUAAGCACCGGCUAACUUCGUG